rnacentral:rRNA from 1 species
UACGGAGGGUGCAAGCGUUAUCCGGAUUUACUGGGUUUAAAGGGUGCGUAGGUGGGCAGGUAAGUCAGUGGUGAAAUCUCCGGGCUUAACCCGGAAACUGCCAUUGAUACUAUUUGUCUUGAAUACCGUGGAGGUCAGCGGAAUAUGUCAUGUAGCGGUGAAAUGCUUAGAUAUGACAUAGAAUACCAAUUGCGAAGGCAGCUGGCUACACGAAUAUUGACACUGAUGCACGAAAGCGUGGGGAUCAAACAGG